rnacentral:lncRNA from 1 species
GUUUUUCACUGAAAAUGUAACAUUAAGGUGUAUUUUCCGGAAUUGGCCGAGUAUUACCGGAAUGCCAUGUGAUAACGUUACGGAAAGGCAUGUGAUAACAAUCGAAGCAUGUGAUAAACUUUUCAUAUCAGCCCGCUAAGCACCAAUUCGAAAAAUAUGGAAUUUACGUCAAUUUAAUGCUAUUAUCAUACGGUAAAAUUUAUAUGUU